rnacentral:rRNA from 1 species
GAUGAACGCUGGCGGCGUGCUUAACACAUGCAAGUCGAACGGUGAAGGCGGAGCUUGCUCUGCUGGAUCAGUGGCGAACGGGUGAGUAACACGUGAGCAAUCUGCCCCUGACUCUGGGAUAAGCGCUGGAAACGGCGUCUAAUACUGGAUACGAGCUGCGAAGGCAUCUUCAGCAGCUGGAAAGAAUUUCGGUCAGGGAUGAGCUCGCGGCCUAUCAGCUUGUUGGUGAGGUAAUGGCUCACCAAGGCGUCGACGGGUAGCCGGCCUGAGAGGGUGACCGGCCACAAUGGGACUGAGACACGGCCCAGACUCCUACGGGAGGCAGCAGUGGGGAAUAUUGCACAAUGGGCGAAAGCCUGAUGCAGAAACGCCGCGUGAGGGAAGACGGCCUUCGGGUUGUAAACCUCUUUUAGCAGGGAAGAAGCGAAAGUGACGGUACCUGCAGAAAAAGCGCCGGCUAACUACGUG